rnacentral:rRNA from 1 species
UAGGGAAUCUUCGGCAAUGGACGAAAGUCUGACCGAGCAACGCCGCGUGAGUGAAGAAGGUUUUCGGAUCGUAAAACUCUGUUGUUAGAGAAGAACAAGGACGUUAGUAACUGAACGUCCCCUGACGGUAUCUAACCAGAAAGCCACGGCUAACUACGUGCCAGCAGCCGCGGUAAUACGUAGGUGGCAAGCGUUGUCCGGAUUUAUUGGGCGUAAAGCGAGCGCAGGCGGUUUCUUAAGUCUGAUGUAAAAGCCCCCGGCUCAACCAGGGAGGGUCAUUGGAAACUGGGAGAAUUGAGUGCAGAAGAGGAGAGUGGAAUUCCAUGUGUAGCGGUGAAAUGCGUAGAUAUAUGGAGGAACACCAGUGGCGAAGGCGGCUCUCUGGUCUGUAACUGACGCUGAGGCUCGAAAGCGUGGGGAGCAAACAGG